rnacentral:rRNA from 1 species
UAAACUAUGCCGACUGGGGAUUCGCCAGUGUCAACAAACUUGGCGAGCACCCUCCGGGAAACCAAAGUGAUUGGGUUCCGGGGGGAGUAUGGUUGCAAAAUCGAAACUUAAAGGAAUUGACGGAGGGGCACACCAGAAGUGGAGCCUGCGGCUCAAUUUGACUCAACGCACGAAAGCUUACUCGGUCCGAACACCGUGAGGAUUGACAGGUUGAAAGCUCUUUCUUGAUCCGGUGGGUAGCGGUGCAUGGCCGUUCGUAGUUGGUGAAGUGAUUUGUCUGGUUUAUUCCGAUAACGAACGAGACUCUGGCCUACUAAUUAGCGUAGUGAUCUCAUGUCGCUAUAAUGCUUCUUAGAGGGACAGGCGCAAUGAAAGGCGCACGAAGUAGAGCAAUAACAGGUCUGUGAUGCCCUUCGAUGUUCGAGGCUGCACGCGCGCUACAAUGGAGGGCGCAAAGCGCAUGUUGCCUCUUGAAAGAGAGUUGCAGAAUCGUAAAUAGCCUUCAUGACUGGGAUCGGAGAUUGAAAUUAUUCUUCGUGAACGAGGAAUUCCUAGUAAGCGCGAAUCAUUACUUCGCGUUGAUUAAGUCCCUGCCCUUUGUACACACCGCCCGUCGCUACUACCGAUUGAAUGAUUUGGUGAGGUCUGUGGAUAGGUGCAGUGGGGCCACAAACCCUAUUGAUUACCUAAAAGCUGACCAAGCUUGAGCGUUUAGAGGAAGUAAAAGU